rnacentral:ncRNA from 1 species
UCAUGGGCGGUAGGCAAAUUGAGAGAGGCUGUCCCUAGUACGACGAGGACCGGGAUGGACAGACCUCUUGGUGUACCAGUUGUCUGCCCAGAGCACUGCUGGGUAGCUAUGUCUGGACGGGAUAAGCGCUGAAAGCAUCUAAGCGCGAAGCCCCCUCUAAGAUAAGUUUUCCCGCUCGGUUAACGAGGUAAGACCCCAGAGAGAUGAUCUGGUUGAUAGGCGGAGGUGUAAUGGCAGCAAUGUCUUAAGCUGACCGGUACUAAUAGGUCGAGGACUUAACCUA